rnacentral:misc_RNA from 1 species
AAAGCCAGCCUCCGCCUCUCCAAAGUAAGUAUUCACUGUUCAUUCCUUUCUAUUAAAUAUAACUUCUUCGUUUUCAAUGAUCGCUAACCACUUACAAAAUUCUUUCUUGUUUUAUUUGCAGAUUAAAUGUGGAAUCUGCCUCCAGAGUGUGAAAAGUGGGAAAGGAACAGCGGUUUUCACAGCGGAAUGCACCCAUGUAUUUCACUUCCCUUGCGUAGCUGCACACGUGAAGAGGCAGGAUCUCCUUAUCUGCCCUGUGUGCAGCGCCACCUGGAAAGAACAACCUUUGCUUUCUAUCCACCACAAACCAGAGAUCAAGAAAUUAGACGAAAAGCUCAAAGACCUUUCAAAAACCAAGAACUUGAGAAUCUACAACGA